rnacentral:lncRNA from 1 species
GUACUUCUAUCCUAUCAACCGGAUAAUAUUCAACAUAUUCAAUGUUGCAGUCACAUUUAUUUGUUAUAUGUAAAUAUAUGUAAUCAUCGCCUUUUUGCUCAGAAACAUUCAGUUAUUAUGCCAACAUAAGCCUUUCUAUUACGAAUAAUAUUCUUAAAUCUUAAUAAAUUAAUAAUUAGUAAUAAAAUAACCAUCUAGUUUUUACAAAAGGAGUUUGGUAUUAUGCAAGGUCAAUAGAAAUUAUUAGAUAUCCUAAAAAUCCAGCUCUUCUAAAGCAAUGGAUUGUAAACUGCCGUCGCCAAGAUUGGAAACUAACCAAAUAGUCAAGAAUCUGUUCUAAUCACUUCAAAGACUCUGACAUCAUCAAGCACAAAGUUAAGUGCACGCUUGUUGAUGGAGCAGUGCCCUCAAUUUUCAACUUUCCAAUGCACUUAAAAAAAGUAGAGUCCCAUCGACGAAUCUUAAAGUGAAGAACCUAUGAAAGAAGGAAGCACUAUAAAAAGGAAUUUUGAUGGCAUGAUUGAAAAAAGGCCAAUUGUAAAUAUAGUCAUUGAUCAUACAUAUGCUCUACCUUGUACUAUGGAAUCCUUGUGGGAGGAGACAAAAAGAGCAAAAAGAGACAUUAUGAUUCUUUCCGAAAAAAAUGAACUUCUUUCAAAACAUUUAAAGGCUUCAAAAAUUAAAUUAUUUGUCAAAGCAAACGAAGGCUUCAAAAGCGGAUAACCAAUACAAAAAAAAAAAUCCAAUUUUCCAAAAACUCUCUUUCAUCGUAUGAUCCAUAAUAAAAGGAUGGGAAUUACAACAAGAAAAAAAAUAAUCAGAGGAAUUAAAGCAAUUUGCAUUGACUUUAUAGUUUUUCUCUCAGAUGGGUUAUGAUUAUGUCCGAAGGACUUUCAACAUGGCAUUACCACAUUUUUCUGUCAUUAGAACCUGGUAUGGAUCGAUGGAUGGUUCUCCUAGCUUCACUCUAGAAUUAUUUAAAGCAUUAAGAAUACGAGUUCAGUAACAAGAAAGCGCCAAUGGCGAAAAAAUCUAUUGCAACCUCACUCUAGAUGAAAUGAAAAUUAAAAAAAAAUGAUUGAGUUUGAUGGCAGUAAGUACUAUGGAUACGUAGAUAUUGGCACAGGAGUGCCAAACGAUUCAAUGCCUCCUGCCACAGAGGUUCUUGUACUGAUGGUGGUUGCCAUCCAUGGGAAUUGGAAAAUACAUAUGGGAAACUUUAUGAUCCAUGAAUUAUGUGGGAGAGGAAAGGCAAAUUUGGUUUGUACGGCUUUGAGUAAAGUGUAUGAUAUGGGUAUAAUCAUUCCUAGUAUAACAUGUGAUGGGCCCUCUUUCAACUUUGCUAUGUUUAACUCUCUAGGAGUUGUUCUCUGUCCAAAUAAUUUGGAAACUACGUUUCCUCAUCCUUCCAAUCAUGAAAUCAAGAUAGCAGUUAUAUUUGAUAUUUGUCAUAGGAUGAAGUUCGUGAGGAAUACAUUUGCAUCGUUUGGUUUUAUGAAAAAUAAAAAGGAGAGGAGAUUCGUUGGAGAUUUAUCAAUGAACUGUACUUAUUACAUAAACAUGAAGGUCUGAGAGCUGGAACCAAGUUGUGAAAAGCUCACAUUGAAUGGAGAAGAUUGAAAAUGAAAGUAAAUUUGGCAUGUCAAACACUUUGGAGAAGUGUAGCAGAUGCUUUGAACAUGCUCUCGAAGGAUCUUUAACACAAAAAAAUUCCGAACUGUACGGCUACAGUGAAGUUGAUUAGAAUAUUUGACGCCUUAUUUGACAUUUUUAACUCUCAGAAUAUAUCAGGAAGCUCAACUAAAGCCCCAUUAAGAAGAUCCAACUAUGAUUAUUGGGGCCCUCUCUUGGAGUCAAGCUACGACUAUAUCAAAGAAUUAAAAACUUGCAGUCGUAAAAAAGUUGUCAAUACAAAGCAAAAACCGGAUAUGUUGGAUUAUUGAUUGCAAUUCAGACUUUUAAACACUUAUAUAAUUAUCUUAUAGAAACAAAUGAUCUAAAAUAUAUUCUAACAUACAAAUUCAGUCAAGAUCAAAUGGAACUUUUCUUCUGUGCAAUUCACUCUGCCAACGGGCAUAAUAUUAAUCCUUCAGUCAGAAUGUUUUCCUCUGCUUAUAAAAGAUUGAUUAUUCAAUAUGAGAUUAAAGUAGGAACGAGAGGAAAUUGCUAAAGUCAAGGUAACACCAUCUUUCAAUCUUCACAGGGAAAAAAAGGAAGAUGCCAGAUAAAUAUGGAUAGCAACCAUAUGGAAUUUAUUCGUAAAGAUAGCUUAAUUGAUAAAGGUCCCUUGGAGAUCGACCAGGACUACAGCAAAGUGCCUAAUCCUAAUUAUUGCAUAGGAAUUUCGGACUAUAAAAGAGUGGUCAUCAGUUACAUUGCCAGAUUUGUAGAGAUAAAAUUCGAAAAAAUAGUCUUUAGUGAAAAAUGAAUUGAAUCUUUGUGGUGUCUUGACAACGAAUUCAGGGUCGAUUAUGUUUUAU